rnacentral:rRNA from 1 species
UCAGGUAAGAAUACCCGCUGAACUUAAGCAUAUCAA